UUGUAGCCCAAUCUGGCAACCUGUACUAGGCAACGCAUCCAUCUUAUUUGCGACGAAAGACGGAAAUUUUUGAAAAUAAACUGGUUGCGCCACCUGUUAUUCCAAAAUCACACCUAUGAGUUUUUAAAGGAAAAUAUUCCCGACGAAAAGAUGUUUUUGGUAGGUUUGACUGGUGGAAUUGCUACGGGAAAAAGUACAGUAGCAUCUAUGUUUCAAGAAUUUGGCAUUAAAGUUAUUGAUUCAGAUGUCAUUGCUAGACAAGUUGUUGAACCAGGAACUAUUGCAUGGAAGAAAAUUAAAAAUGAAUUUGGGAGUGAGGUUAUUUUACCAGAUGGAAUGAUUGACAGACAGAAAUUAGGACAAAUUAUUUUCUCAAAUUCGGAAUUAAGAAAAAAGCUAAAUUCUAUUACUCAUCCAGAAAUAUAUAAAACAAUUUUUUGGGAAUGUCUAAAAUUAUUUUUAUUAGGUAAAUUUUAUUUUAUUUC
rnacentral:lncRNA from 1 species